UUGGUGCCUACAAGCUGCAGAAAAGUGGACGGAGUGGUUGCAUGGCUCAUGAAUGGGGUUGCUGCUGCUUUCUUCAUGUCUCUUGAACGAUGCUCUUGCAUUCAUAUUGACACCAAAGAUGAUGAUGAUGAUGGUGAUGAUAUUGAAAUUGAAUUGCUUGGCCCUGAUUUUACAAAAGAUGAGCAGCUAUACAAUUCUUCAAGGCAAGAAGAUGAGCAAGAAUUUGAGGAAAGAUUACUAGGUUAGAAAAGCCUUAUGAUUGGCUUAAUUUUAUUCUUUGUAAAGAUUUAAUUUAAUUGAUUGUCAUAAUUGAUUAUGAUUAAUUUAUGUGAGACACAAAUUGAAAUUGUUCUCUUAAAUUAUACAAGUCUUUUAAAGUUUGAUUAUCUGUCUCUAUAAUUUUGAACUUGAAACUUUAAAUAAGUACAAUAUGUAAAAUAGAUAUCAAUUGAUUUAGCUAUCAGUUUUGCAUGAAGCAAUCCUUUGUAUGUAAAAUUAUGGAUUCGAAUCUAUGAAUAUAUAAAAUUUUGAGAGAUAUGUGAGUAUUUAAAGAAGACAAUUCCGAAUUAUGUAUCAGAACAUGAGAUUAAAAAUCGAAUUGUGAAAUUGAUGAUUCAACGUAAUUGUUAAACCUUAGUUUUAUUUUGAAAAAUCAAUAUUUUAAUUAAUUUUGAUGAUCANNNNNNNNNNNNNNNNNNNNNNNNNNNNNNNNNNNNNNNNNNNNNNNNNNNNNNNNNNNNNNNNNNNNNNNNNNNNNNNNNNNNNNNNNNNNNNNNNNNNNNNNNNNNNNNNNNNNNNNNNNNNNNNNNNNNNNNNNNNNNNNNNNNNNNNNNNNNNNNNNNNNNNNNNNNNNNNNNNNNNNNNNNNNNNNNNNNNNNNNNNNNNNNNNNNNNNNNNNNNNNNNNNNNNNNNNNNNNNNNNNNNNNNNNNNNNNNNNNNNNNNNNNNNNNNNNNNNNNNNNNNNNNNNNNNNNNNNNNNNNNNNNNNNNNNNNNNNNNNNNNNNNNNNNNNNNNNNNNNNNNNNNNNNNNNNNNNNNNNNNNNNNNNNNNNNNNNNNNNNNNNNNNNNNNNNNNNNNNNNNNNNNNNNNNNNNNNNNNNNNNNNNNNNNNNNNNNNNNNNNNNNNNNNNNNNNNNNNNNNNNNNNNNNNNNNNNNNNNNNNNNNNNNNNNNNNNNNNNNNCUUGUUAUCCAUCAUGCUUUGAACCAAAGCCUUAAAUCCUUCACAUUCUUGGAUUUUGGUGCCCUGUUUUAUGGUGAAAUUCACAAUAAUUUCCCUUCUCAUGCCCUUCCUCAGAAUCUGAAAUAAACCAAACCUCUUUUCGCCAUUUCUUUCCAGACCCGUUUCAAUGGAGUUUUUACUUCAGCAAUGUCAGUCUUGACUUCUUCUCCCGUACCUUCGCUAACCAUAUUCACCCCAUAUCUGUGUAUUAGGGUAACGGAUUUCUUUACGUUAGGUGAGUCGUCAAGUUUGACGACACCUAAAUUGAUAAGUCCUCUACUACCUUCUUGAAGGCAGUACAAUUUUCUAUCGAGUGCCCAGAAAUUCCCGCAUGAUAAUCACAUUGCGCGUUCAUAUCAUACCCAUUUUGGAUACGGGGGUUGUAGAGGACUCAAGUAACGAGGAGCAACAACAUGUGCAUCGAAUAAAGUCUGAUACAACUCCUGUAUGACAUCGGGAUUGGCGUGAAUUGGGGCUUUUCAGUAGUUUACCUAGCUCCCGACUCUUGUCUUGAUGAUCCCUGUUGAUUAGCAACCACUUCUUUGGUUGAUUCACGGUAAUUGACCUACCAUAAGCAUUCACAUUAUUCACUUCAUUUUCUCUUUUCCUCAGGGGUGCCCUCCUAUUAUUUUCUCCUCCAUCUAUUUUUCCACUUUUAAUGGCAUGCUCAAUCAUUUCACACCAUUCAUGAUUAUAUCCGAGAAAUUUUUUGAAGCGCUUCUCAACAUGUGAGUGAUGAACGGGGCUUUCAAAGUAUUAAUAAAAAGCGUCGUCAUCUCUUUUUCCAAAAGCGGUGGUUGCACCUGAACCGCCACCUCUCGCCACCUCUGCGCAUAUUGUCUGAAGCUUUCGUUCGAUUUCUUCUCUAAAUUUUACAGAGUUAUCCUGUCAGGCAUCAUUUCUGAGACAUGAUUGUAUUGUCUCAGGAAAGCCUGUGCUAAAUCCCUCCAAGUAGCAAUUUUAGCUCGGCUCAGCUGAUUGUACCACUUUGACGCCGCUCCCGUAAGACUUUCCUGAAAGCAAUGUAUUAAUAAUUGAUCAUUAUUAAUAUGCCCCCGUCAUUCUUCUACAAAACAUAGUAAUAUGGGAUCCUGGGCAACUAGUCCCGUUGUAUUUCUCAAAUUCCGGCAUCUUAAAUUUGUAAGGGAGCACCAAGUCCGGAACCAAGCUCAGAUCCUUUGCAUCUAUUCCAUAGCUUUCGAUGCUUUCUAUUGCCCUAAACUUCUCUUCUAUCCAUUUCCAUUUCUCCUCAAAUUGUUUUGGAAAUUCCUCCUUCGCCUUGUCCUUUUCAACCAUCUCGUCAAGAUCUGGGACAGCAAUAUUAUUCGGGCUAUCACCGGGAUUAAGGCCCGCUCCGGGUUGAAAAUUCAUUGGGAUUGAAGCAUCGCCUUGGAACUGCUGGGGCCUAACCGACACAGAGGGUCUCCGCGGAUGCAGCUCAGUCUGUACUUGCGCAUGCGGAGGCGUGAAACCUGGAGGAUAAAGUGGUUCACCAUUGUUUUCUUCUUCACUAACAAUCACAGGACCUUUACCCUUAUCUACUCCCUUCAAUAAUUGCGUCAUCUUAGCCACUAGAUCAUUUUGGGACUCCUCCAUCUUUUGCACCAUGUCACGCUGAAUCUUUUCUAUUUUCUCUUUCAUUUGCGCCUGCAACUAGUCUUGUAUUUCUUUUUGAAGUCGCUCUAGCUUCUCCAACCUUUGGUCCAUAAUUUUUGUCUUAGCUCGGGUGCCGUAACUUUGUUGGUUUUCCAGGUUAACUGAAAUGAUUUUAUUCGAUUAGGUUUUUAAUGGUCAUUAAUGCAUGUGAUGUGAUGCAAUGCAUGAAAAGAAUGCAAAGAAAAAGAGGCACUGAUUCUAAUUCAACUUCAUUAGAAAACUUUACUAGAUAAAGAGUUUCUUUACAUAAAAUAGACUACAUAUAUGGCUUUGCCCUCACACUCAAAGCCUUAACCUUUCUAAGAAGCCAAGCUAAUUCUCGGCCCCUGUCCGACUCUGACUCAUACUUCAAACUUAAUAGAUCAGCCUGAACCGCUAGAGUUUGCAGAUGAUCAGCUACUUCGCACACUUGAGUCACCGCCUCUCCCAUAAUAUAAUCUCUUUCUCCAAUCUGCUCUUGAGACCGACGGAAUUGUCUUUGCAACUGCUCAUUACUUUCUUCCAGAAGCUCUAUCCGGAUUUCACUAUUUUGCAAUGCAUUCUCUAGCCCUCCUAUUUGUCUUUUUAAUUCUUCAAUUUUGUCUAAGCUCGCCCUUAAUUCAACCGUAGCAUUACGAUUACAGUACUGGUGAAGCGAUCUUUCUAGUUCAGUUAUCCGGACCUUCAACUCCGUCUUCUCGUCUUGGCAAACUAAUAGACUUUUUCCCAAGGUGACUUCUCGAGCCCGAGUAUCCUGAAAUUUCUUUUCCCAUUGAUUAGCUUUCGUCUUUUCCUCCUGAAUUUCUUGCCGCCAUUGUUCUGGCGUUUUACCCAAGCCAGCAGCUCUUACCGACCUGCGCAACUUCUUGUAAUCUGUCUUCAGGCUGUCCAAAUCUUCUUCUGCUUUGUUCUUUCCUUUUCUUAAUUUAUCAGCCUCUAAUCUUUGAAUGUCCACAUCCAGUCCUAACUGCAUUUUUUCUUCCUCUAGUUGUUCUAUUUUCUUCCCCAAUUCUAAACUCAUUUUUUCGAAUUCUUGUUUGAUGAUUUCUAUCUCAGAAGGCAAAACUUGUAAGUGUUCCUCUAAAGAUCGAGCAGUUUCUAAAUUUGACGCCGGGAUGUUGUCGUUGAUCCUUUGAUCACGCCACUGACCAUACUCGGGGGUAAUUGUCGGACCCACGGCUAAGAUCUUCAUUCGACGAGUCUGGUUCCAGGCACUAGAUAUUUCUCGAACCUUCUUCUUGUAAUUGUCCUCCCUAUAGGAAAAAUCACUAUAAGCCAACCCCUGCAUUGCUGGUAUAAAUUGUCGUGAUCUAUACUGUCUUGAUACGAGUAGAGGAGCAUAUCCGAUAGCUCCCCAUAUCCCGAGUAGCGGAACCCAGUCAAAAUCUCCACAUCGGUACAAUAUCUCAUCAGGAAUUAACCAAGGAGCCCUCCAUUCAAUAUCUUCAUCCUGGAGAUUCUGGAGUAUCUCUAUCCAUUUUUCUUCUGAAAUAUCAUCCCGUCUUGGCGUGGCCACCAAUUCUCCUAGAGGGGAGUAGCUAUCAGAGAAUACCCGAUAAGAGACCUUUUCGACUUUCCAGAAGUGGCUAUGGAACCAUGCCAAUAAGAGCUGCGCGCAACCAAUAAACCUUCCCUCCCCUGCUUUUCGACACGCAUUCAAGGAUCUAAAAGUUUCAGCGAGUAUUGCCGGAACCGGUGUAACCCCUUUACUAAGCCGAUCAAACAAAUCAGAUACAGCCUCGUCUAUGUGUCCUAAAGCUUUGGGGAAAACCACUAGUCCAUAGAUACCUAAAGCGAAGACAUCGACCCUUUUCUUUAAGUCAGGAUGUACAAGCACCAAAUCUCGCAAACUUUUCCAAGGAACACAUUUACUGUCGCCCUUCUGUUGGAUCCGGGCAGCGACCCACUGCUCGCUCAUCCCAGUGAUGUUCAUUAAUUUCUUUAACAACGGAGGGACACAAGCAGCUCUGGAAUAAGCCUUGUCGACUUGAAUCUUUGGGCACCGAAGCAAGGUCGUAUACUCCUCCACAGUAGGCGUCAAAUCUACCUUCCCAAAAGUGAAACAACUGUAGGCAGGAUUCCAAAACUGAGCAAGGGCUCGGAAUAAAUACUUGUCCACUUUGACACUAAGCAGAUAAGGUAGGUCACCGUAGUUACAAUAGAACAGCUGCUUGGCCUCGACAUCCCAUUGAUCCCAGACUUCUUUCAUUUCUCGAAGGUCAUUCUGGAUUACACUGAUACGGGUAAAAUCCCACAAUUCUGACACGUACCCUUCGGUAAGACUAUCGCCUUUCUCCCGUUGUGUCGUUUCAGCCCAUAUUCGCACAGCCGCAUUAUCCUCUACUUUAUCAACAAACCCCUUUUCCAUGAUAAGCUUUCUACCAAGAAAUUGAACGUAAAUCGACACCUCUUUUAGAAUGAAGAUGCCAUGCAAUCACAAACAAAGUAAAUUAGCAUUAAACACAGAAUAAGAUUUAAAAUAAGCGACAAAUAAAUACAACAUUCAUUUAGGUAAGCACUAAAAAUUUGGAGUAGCUCUACCUAGGUCGGUUCCUAUGGCUCAUUACAUGUGGUUUGGGUUCUAAAGUAGGGUACCUGAACCAGCAAAUUCCUCGAUCCUCACCCAUUAUAGGCUCAUACGGACCAAGUUCGAUUCAGGGGGAUACAUUUCCCUAUGGCCAUGCGGAGAUGAAAAUCUCACGAAGACAUAGGUACGGAUAUAUCCUGAAAGCGAUUCACUAUCCCAUGCGGAGGUGAAAACCUCACGAAGGCGUAGCUUCUCACUCCCACCUAAAAAGGUGUGACCGACGGUCAUGCAAUGCAAUGCGGAAAGAUACCAAAAUUUAAACAAACAGAGCAAUUAUAAACCCCAAUGAUGAUGAUUAUGAUAAAGACAGAUAAAAUGCGAUGAAAGGAUCGUAAUUUUAAACCGAAUUUUCAAUUUUGACAAAAGACAAAAAGUAAUCACCACGUGGCUUGACCCUCUUAUCGGUGUCCCCAGUGGAGUCGCCAAGCUGUUGACACCAUUUUUUGGAUGAAAACGGGGUUGACUUGGGUUUUGAAAAAAGAAACGGGAGUCGCCACCAAUCCUCUUUUUUUUAUGAGGUGCGAUUGGAUCACCUCGAAAAGGGGUUGUUUUUAAUAAACGGUUUGAUUUUGUUAAAACAACAAGUUUGGUCCACGAAAUUCAGAAAAACGGGUUCGGGAGUCGGUUACGCACGAGGAAGGAUUAGCACCCUCGAUACGCCCAAAAUUGGUACCUAGUUGAUUACUUAAUGUCUUAAUGUCAAAAAUUGAGAACCUUGAAGAAUUUUAAAAAUACGAUCCUUGUAUUAAAACAUUGAAAAUUUUCAGGAAAAAGAGGAUAUUUCACGUUAUUCGAAAAAGAGAAUCAUAUCCAGUAAGUUAGGACACAAUGUCUCAAAUUCCCGAUACGCGGAUGAAAAAUGCUUAUUUAAAAGAUAUUUUAUUAUCUUGGUUUUAGAAAUAAAUCAGGCCCAGUAAGUUUGGGCACGAUCUUUUCUUAAUUCCCGAGAUCGUUUAAAAACUUGAGUUUGAAAAGAUUCGUGUAUUUAGAUUUAUUAUGAAAAUCGAAACCUAGUAAGUUAGAGUACGAUCCUUUCGAAUCUAAACACGAAAUAUUUUUUAAAACAAAUUUUGUUAUAUCGAGUAAAAUAAAACACGAAAAUCGUAGUAAAAAAUGUGAAAGCAAAUUACAUUGUUAUACGUGGUAAAAUCAUAAUACACAUAAAAAUAAAAAAUAAUACGAGCAAUAGCAACAAUAUAAAAUAAAUAAAAGUCAUACCUACAAUCAUAUAAAAUAACAAUAUAUAUAAACAAAUAAAUUAAAACAUUCAUUCAAAAUAAUAACGAAAAUGAAAUAAAUAAGUAACAAAUACAAUUAAAUAUAAAAAGAUAUAUAUAGACAUAAACUAAAAUAUAUAUAUAAAUUGACAAAAUAUAUAAAGUAUAUUUAAAUAUAUAAAAGAAAAAAUAAAUAUGUAUAUAUUUAUGAAAAUGAAAAUAUAUAUAUAGAUAUGUAUAUAAGUUGUAAAAAAUAUAUAAAAAUAUAUAAGUAUAUAUACAUAUAUGUUACAAAAAUAAUGUAUAUAUAUAUCAUAAAAAUAUAGGCACAUAUAUAUAUACCGAAAUUUUAAUAAAAUAAAUAUAAAUAAGUAGGUAAUAAUAAUAAUAAUAAUAAUAAUAAUAAUAGGACUAAAUCAAAACUGAAACGAAAUCUCAGGGCUGAAAUCAAAAAUAAAAUAGAGUAAGGGAUCAAAAUGUGAGGCGCGCGAAAAAUAGAAGGGCCAAUUAGGAAAUUAUUCCUAUUAAUCGAACGGCGCCGUUCUGCCAAGACCCAGGCGCAUGGUUCCUGGACCAAAUUGAAACGGAUGCGAAAAUUUGUGGUCAAAAUUACGAAUAUGAGAAAACUUCCUUGAAAGCGCUUCAAAAUUGGAGGGACUAAAUGCACAAAUAUCCCCCUUUUAGAAAACGCGCGGAUCCUCCCCUCGGGUCGGGUCACCGCGCGGGUCAAGGGGGCGUAAAAUGGCGCCGUUUUGUAACCUUUAUUUAAAUCAAAUUUUUUUAAAAAAAAUUUCAUUCUUCCAUUGUUUCAGAAAAAAAUUUCAGAGGAAAAAAAAAAGAAUCCCCUCAGCCCCCCUUUUCUCUUGGCCGAACGGGCCACCAUUGACCCCGCCACGUGCGGUGGUCGGGGGCUCCAAACGGUCAGUUUUUAACCCCGUUUUAGGGACCGACUGAAGGCCGGGCUUCAGAGCCGUAGGGUCGAGGAGCAAAACCCCGAACGUCGCCUUCAUGGUCCGACUUCGGUAGCCCGAAAUGGAACUCCGGCGACGGCGCAAGCGAAGUGACUCAGGUACCGUUUCGUUUCCUUUUUUUGUUUCUUUGUUUGUAUAUGUAGAGAGAAGAAAAAGAAAAAGAAAAAUAAACAAAUCCGAAACAAGAGAAUCGCAAAUCACCUUCAAAUUUUUCUUUUCCUUUUGAUUUCUGAAAGUGUUUUUAAAAGAGGGGAAAACCCCCUUAAAAUACGCUCAGUUUUUUCUCAAAUACAAUUGGUUUCCCCCUUCUUUUACAAACUGAUCUCCUUUAGGCUUUAUAGCCGAUUACAAUAUUAAGAAAAUGUGGCUACUGUUGCUUGCUGCCUUGCUCUGCUCUGUUCUUUUUCUUUUGAUUGCAGGUGCCAGAGGAGUUGGUGGUGGCGUGUGGGCAACGUUUGCAAGGCGGUGGAGCAGGUGGGUAGAGACGUGAUGGAGGCCUGGAAGGGACGGUGACAGGUGCGCCAUUUGCGCUGACGGCGGCCGAAGUCAGAAGACCCUAGGUGCGGCGCACCUAGGGUUUGUUUUUGCUGUUCAUUUUUCUGAUUUUGUUGGGCUAGGGUUGUUAGGUUAUUUGGGUGUUGGGUCUGUUGGGUUUUAGGUUUGUUGUAAUGGGUUUUAGAUUGGGCUGAAAUGGGUUAGGUCAAAAUGGGCCUGUACAAAGGUAAUAGAGUGGUGGAUGGAAUGGCAUCGUUGGCUGUCAACCGUUAGCUUGGACUGCAUAAUUUCUUAAACCCCUGAUAGUGUUUUACAGAAGCUACAUGAUGACUGUUUGGAAAUUGCUUUCCAACAUUUGAUGUAAUUUAGGUUUUUCUCCCGUUUUCAAAUAUAUAUAUAUAUAUAUAAAUCUUAUAAAAGAAAUCAAAUUAAAAAAACUUUGAGAGUCAGACACAAAUUUAUCUUAUUUAAAACACUAACUAUAAUACUAAAAUAAAAAAAAUUCAAAACUCAAAAGAACCUAAAAUUUUUUCUUACAAACUUUUGGAAUCUGAUAUCUGCCAGUCCUUGAAUUUAUCUUUAUUAAAAAUGAUUUUAAAAUUUAGAAAUGAUGUAAUCUAACUUGAAUUAUCAUUUUAGUGGUUUCAUAUAUUUAGUCAAUUAUUCAAAAAUAAACUUAAAAUUGUCCAACAUUAGCCAAAGUACCCCAAGAAAUGUAAAGCUUCCCAAAUAAAUGUUAUGUAGAAUUUAGUCAUUAGUAUAUAUAUAUGGUAAACUUGCAUAUUUACUUUGGUGAUUCUUAAGGUAAUGUGUAGGCAAAGAAUAACUUUUAAAAUAUAUCGAUAUUAUUCUUGGGUUAUGGUAUUAGAUUCUAGGCUAAAUUAUUCAACUCAAUUGGUAAGUUAUUCUUGCUCUUAUAUGUUGUUUAGGUUCUCUUAUAAAAAAGAAUAAAGUAUCACUAAGAUUUUUUUAGUUACAAUAAUUUCACUAUAAUUGAUCGUUAUAAGUUAUAUUAACUAAUCAAUCAAACUAUAGUUAAAUGACUAAUCAGAAUAAAUCUGGAAAGACUCAUACAUUUACAUUAAGUGAGACUUGAACUUAAGACCUCAUAAUUUCUAGGAUUUCAAUCUUAUUAAUGAACCAACACCUAAUCAGCAAUAGGAAAAAACUUUUAUGUUAAAACGAGAAAUUGAAAUUUGAAAUGAACCGAUGAUAUUUGGAUAGAUUUCGUUUAUAAGUUAAAAGAUUGUGGUUACUCGAAUUGAAUCGAAUUUUUAUUUAAUUUAUAAAAAAUUUUAAUUUUUUAUGAUAUAAAAAUAAAUAUUUUAUAUUUAAAAUAGUAAAAUAACUUAAAAUAACUAAGCAAAAUUAUUUUUCAAAAAAAAUAUAAAUAUUAUUUUUUAUUUUCUUGAGAAAUUAUUUUUUAAAAAUUUUUUGAUAAAAAAUUUAUCUUAAAAAUCAUAAAUAAAAUUUAUUUUAAACCAAAUUAAAUUAAUAUAAAAAAAUUCAAAAAUUUCAAAAAAUCCAAGUCAAUCACAUCCAACUCAAUUAUAGAGGAUGGUCAUAAUCUCCAUGGUGCCAUCAUCCAUUGCAUAAGCAACAUCACUAAUUAGAAAGAUAUUGCCUUAUUAUCAUACUAAAUGAUUUAAAAGUGCAACAUAUUUUAUUGAUAUUCCUAAUUUUAGUUUAACAGUAAAUUCUUUUAUCAGUUGCUUGCAUCACAGAAAAAGAAAACCCCUCAAUUAUUAUGAUUUAAAUAAUCCAAUACAUACUGUCAUCAGCAACAAUAUGUGAAACUAAUUUAUUUUGGUAUAAUAUUUAUGAAAGUAUAAGAGAAUGACAUUACAUGAAAAUUCCACCAAAUAAUGCAACAACAAAAAGAACAUAUAGUGAUGAGUGAUGGCAUCAAUUUCUCAUAUAUAACACCAAUUAAGAUAUAAUAAUAUUGGCAUACCAAAAAAUAUAUAUAAUAAUAUUGUAUAGGAUUAAUAUAGUAUUCGGUAUAUGAAUUUGAUUUCAAUGUUCAACUUGGUACUUGAGUUUAGCUUCAAUACGCACUUUGAUAAGUUUUUUCCAUUUGAUACUUGAGUUUUUUUAUCUCAAUUAAGUAUCUGAGUUUGGUUUCAAUAUUCAAUUCGGUAUCUGAGCUUUUUAUUUUGUCUUAACUAAGUACCUAUGUUAUUUUUACUAGAGAACACAUGUCAAACAUUCCUGGGACCACAUGAUGUUGUUCGAUCUGGGUAUCAAAACAAACAUUAAAACCAAACUCAAAUACCAAAUUAAACAUUAAAAUCAAACCCAAGUACCAAAUGGUAUAUUAACCCUAUUGUAUAUAAUUGUUCUUUGCUCAUGUUUUUAAGUUUUAUCUAAGUAUCUUAAUUAGCCAAGGUAGAGAGCAUUAGUAAGGAUCACAUUUAGGAUAUCUUAAAAUCAAAGUAGUUAAAGUUUUCCCCCUUUUUAAUGAUUAAUGCAUUUGUGAGAAAAAGUGGAACAGUUUAGAGAAUUGUUUAUAAAUCAUUGGUUUCUAGCUAAAAUUCCACCACAAAUUGAUCCUUUUGUUUUCAAGUCUCUAAAUUCAAAUGAAAUGGAUGGUACUAAAAUUUUCAGGCCAAGGAGUUGCACCAACUGGUGUUAUUGCAAAGGGGAUAAUUCGGCAAUCAAGCCCGGGCCAGUUCGUAUCGCCACGAGCCAAGGCUCGUGUGUGUUGGUGCCUACAAGCUGCAGAAAAGUGGACGGAGUGGUUGCAUGGCUCAUGAAUGGGGUUGCUGCUGCUUUCUUCAUGUCUCUUGAACGAUGCUCUUGCAUUCAUAUUGACACCAAAGAUGAUGAUGAUGAUGGUGAUGAUAUUGAAAUUGAAUUGCUUGGCCCUGAUUUUACAAAAGAUGAGCAGCUAUACAAUUCUUCAAGGCAAGAAGAUGAGCA
rnacentral:lncRNA from 1 species